GUUAUGAGUUUAAGAUCGACACGAAAAUCAGCUUAUUCUGUGUCAAUCUACGAAAGGGGAUUUCCAAAUGUGAGAAUUCUUGGUUUCGAUCCAUGGUGUCCAUAAGAGCCAGAAAUAUUUCUAGACAUGACGCCGCCUUUUUGCUCAGUAUGGGUAACAUUCGGUCGGUUCAGUUUAUGUAAGAAGCCUUUGCUUACUUACAUGUACUCUGAUUAGCACUUCUAAACAGGAGAAUUUAUACUGUUACAAGAGGUAAGCUACGUCUUUCAGUUUGAACUUAGAGACGUGGAGCUUUCUUAAUCUCCAAUUGCUUUUAAUCUCAUUAAGUUUAUCCCGUAACAAGUGUCAUUACUCAGGGUGUUGUAAUCAAAACUUAUGAUAUACUUGUCCCCUCCAGUUUCUGUCGUAAGGGGAAAGUUGGUGCUAAUAAGCCAUGGCAAGUUACUCUUCUGACUCUCAUAAUUCUCACCUCCUCUGUCGAUAGUGAAAUUGGCUGAUUGUAUUAGCAAUGCACUACCUCUUUGAUGUGGUAAUCAACUUCUUGUGGUCUCUCUUCGAGCUCCUGGCUUCUGAUGUGAGAGCGCUAUACGGUGUCCUUGGGGCAAUUAGCCAUGAGGUCUCAAGGGGGGACAACAUAAUGAACGGGGUGGAACUUCUAAUCGUGCCGUGCGAAGAAGAGCUUCUGCAGCAGGUGUCAAAGGAAUACGGAGUCGUCCCCAAGUUGAUUUUAGGGCACGCCAAGUGAAUGAGUUCCCUGGAAACGUCCAUAGGGCUUUUCAAACCAGGGUAGAAGCAAAAUUCUUUCUAUCCCAUUUCGAAAAACUACAGACCUCUUGUGGCUAGAAGUUCUAGCCUAGAGCAAACUAUUUCGUUCCUCCUAGUGUGGAACUACUUGUACAAUUGCCUGAUGUCAUGUAAGACCUAUGCAAUGACAUUCCUUAUCGACUUGACUCCCAUGGAAUUUCUGUGCUUCUCAAAGACUAAACGGCCUCGGGAUUUCGCGAGAAUAUCUGCUGUCUGCUGCUGGGAGCUAACGUGCUGUUUCUGAAUGCCUUCUUCUAUACCUUGCUCACGCACAUAAUGGUGGUGUUACUCUAUGUGCUUUGAUCGGGCAUGAAAGACUGAGUUUUUUGCAAGUUUAAUAGUUCUAACGUUAUCGCAGUUGAGAUGAAUAUCAAUUUCAGUAGGUGAGGUAGCAGCGCGCAGAUAAUGAUUCUUUUGGGAGAUGAAUAGCCUCUUUUGCUCCUUCCACAAGGCUCUAUAUUCUGCUUCAGUAGUUGAUAGAGCAACGGUGGGUUGUUUCUUGCUGGCCGAAGAGGUGGCGCCCCCUGCCGGUGAGAAAGUGAACCCCCAGUGCUGCGACAUGAGUCUUUACAGGCAGCCCAGUCUGCAUCCGUGAAACCUUCAAAUUGAGUGAUAGGCUGGCUGUGAGUGAAACCAAUAGGAGAAUAUGCUGCGUGAGGAUUUUUGGAGUGGACGAUGCCAAAAUCAAGGGUAUCCUUGAGGUACCUGAGGAUGUGUAUGACCGCAUUCCAAUGUCGCUCCUGUGUGUUAGCCAUGAAUCUACUAACAAAACUAACUGAACAGGCAAGGUCAGGUCGAGUAUCCAUGAGAUAAAGUGAUUAGCCUACCGAAUGGCAGUAGGUCAAUUGAUCAAAUGAAAGAGAUUCAGAAUCAAGCGCCAAAGAUGAAUUUUUCAGGUAGAGGAGUAGAAGCAUGCCCACAAUCUUCGAGCUGAGCUUCAGAUAGGAUCUGCCGAGAAUAAAGCUGUUGAUGGAUCAUAAUUCCAGAUUUCAGCAUAAGAAAUUCAAACCCAAGGGACCGUUUGAUGAGUUCUAAGGUUUUCAUUUCACAUUACAAAUAGAAUUAAGCCGUAAUAACAACAAUUUUUGAGUCAAAAUUGCUUGUCAGUUGCAGGUCGUCAACAUAGAGAAGGACAACAACAAUAUCAGAGCGGUUCCGCAAAUAGUAGAGGUUAUAAUCAACAAUGCUGCGAGACCAAUUUUGAGCUAGUAUAUACAAAUUGAUUUUAGCGUACCAAGCUCUGGGGCUUAGUUUUAGCCCAUAAAUUGAGCCGUUCAAUUUGCACACUAGGUUUUCUUUCCGAGGUGAAAUGAAUUCGUCAGGUUGCUGCACACAGAUGGAUUCCUCUAGUUUUCCAUUGAGAAAUGCCCUUACUACAUCAAGAUGCACAAUGUUCCAUUCAAAACAAGCUGCCCAUGAGAUGGCUGUUUGCAGCGUAGACCAUCUCACUACAAAUGCAAAAGUUUCAGAAUAGUCAAGUCUAGGCUUAUGUUCAAAGCCCCUGGCUACUAGUCGAGUUUUAAGAUGUCGUUAGAGAGGAUGCAAGUCGAGUUUCACCAGGAGGACCCAGCAACUAGAUGAAGCUUUCCGUCCUAGGAGCAAAGGAACUAAUUUCCAAGUUUUAUUUUUAUUGAGAGAAUGUAGUUUCUGAAUAAUUGUAUCUCUCCAAUGAGGGUGCAAUGAAUAAUUGUAUCUCUCCAAUUGUAUCUCUCCAAUGAGGAGUGCAUCUUAAAAUGAUACAUUGUCUUUGAAGCUUUCCAGGAUAUCCUCAGAACAUGCUGAAGAAUUGGAAGCACUGAGAUACAAAUAAUAGUCUUUGUAUAUGGAUGGUAAUCCUAAUGUAUAAUAAGGACUGAGCUAUGGUGGUGAAACCGGAGACGAGUGGAAGUGACCCUUGAGGUGAAAUUGGUGGAGACUAGUUGUAGAAGUUGUCAGUAAGUGCAUGCGGACCUGGUGAUAAAAUAGUUGGCACAAUGUUAGUCUUGGCCUGGUCCUGAGCAAUAGAAGGUAGUAAAACUUAAGAAGGUGUUGAUUUGUGACAAAAAACCUAGUUAGUGUAGGCAUUUGUCAGAAGAAGGGAAAAGAUAAUAAAUGGCACAGGAGUGUGAAUGUUGUUUGGAUAUUUCUUAAAAAUGACACAUCUCAAUUAAUUAACAUUUUCCUUAUGAAGUUAUAAUACACAUAUGCUUUAAAAAUCUCAUCAUUGGCAAUUAUAAUAGAAAGAAUGAAUUUGAAUUUAAGCUUAGUUUGUCAUUUUUUUAGAUAUAUGGAAAAAGAUUUGUUAUCCAAUGAUAGCUAGAUGUCUAAUAUUUGGUUUUGAUUUGUAAA
rnacentral:lncRNA from 1 species